rnacentral:rRNA from 1 species
GACGAACGCUGGCGGCGUGCCUAUACAUGCCAGUUGGACCCACAGGUUAUACCGUUGCUUUCUUCACCAUAGACCGUGAGUUUCGAACGGGUGAGUAACGCGUAGGUAACCCUCCUGGUAGCCGGGGGUAACCAUUGGAAACUAUAGCUAAUACCGCAUAAUAUUGAUUUUUGCAUGAUAAAUGAUUGAAAGAUGCUAUUGCAUUCCCAACAGAUGGACCUGCGUUGUAUUUGCUAGUAGGUGAGGGAACGGCUCACCUAGGCGACGAUACAUAGCCGACCGGAGAGGGUGAUCGGCCACACUGGGACGGAGACACGGCCCAGACUCCUACGGGAGGCAGCAGUAGGGAAUCUUCGGCAAUGGACGAAAGUCUGACCGAGCAACGCCGCGGGAGUGAAGAAGGUUGUCGGAUCGUAAAGCUCGGUUGUAAGAGAAGAACGGGUGUGAGAGUGGAGAGUUCACACUGUGACGGUAUCUUACCAGAAAGGGACGGCUAACUACGUG